AUGAAGAACUUAAUUGUGUGGAGUUUUAUUAUCAAUCGCACUUGGGUUCCAAGAUUAGUCUUGUAGAUACAUGGUAUUUUAAAGAUGACACAUUAACACAACAAACUGGAAUAAAUUUAUAUCCGGAAAAGAUUGCAAAUGGCGGAAACGGUACAAUAUUUAGACUGGCUCCUGGAUAUAUGAUUCCAUAUACUGAUCCUUAUACGGAAACUGGUGUAUACUGGGAGUUUGUGAAGAUGUACGCUCAACGUUUUAAUUUAACCACAUAUUCAAGUCAUAAGAGGAUAUUGAUUCCGGAUAUGUUUGAAAUGCUUGAUAAUGGAAGUGUUGAUAUUGCUUUUUAUAUGACAAGAAAAUUGACACAAUCCUCACACAGGACAGCCGAUUGCUAAAGAUCCAAAUUUGGAUAACAGAAAACUCAGCAAACGUAUCGAAAUUGAAAAAGAAAAUAAACUGAUGAGAUCUUACGCACCUAACAUAAAACACGCUUACUAUGCUUAUACAUUUCCUGAAUGUUUUAGUGUCGAUCGCUAUCAAAACAAAUCGGUAUUAAAAACUCAUCGUCUAAUGUCCGAGUAUUUAUUCGAUAGAUUUACCACUCCACAUCUGAC